rnacentral:rRNA from 1 species
AAUAUUUGGCAAUGGGCGAAAGCCUGACCCAGCAACGCCGCGUGAAGGAAGAAUGUCUUCGGAUUGUCCACUUCUUUUAUGAGGGACGAAGGACGUGACGGUACCUCAUGAAUACGCCACGGCUAACUACGUGCCAGCAGCCGCGGUAAUACGUAGGUGGCGAGCGUUAUCCGGAUUUACUGGGUGUAAAGGGCGCGUAGGCGGGGAUGCAAGUCAGAUGUGAAAUCCAUGGGCUCAACCCAUGAACUGCAUUUGAAACUGUAUUUCUUGAGUGCUGGAGAGGUAGACGGAAUUCCUUGUGUAGCGGUGAAAUGCGUAGAUAUAAGGAAGAACACCAGUGGCGAAGGCGGUCUACUGGACAGUAACUGACGCUGAGGCGCGAAAGCGUGGGGAGCAAACAGG